AUAUAGUUAAUGAAACUUUACUGAAAUAUGCAGCACCCAAUAUCGACGUACGUUACAGCAAAUCUGGAAAAUUAUCUAAAUAUCUGAUUGAAUAUUUUUACAAAACGACCUUUGCUCCUCUUGUCACAGAAGAUUUUGUCCUUGUUAUCGAUGCUUGGACUGGACAUACUAAUUCUGAAAUUCAUGCGAGUAUAAAUUCAGACAUAUAUAUUUUGACAUAUAUCAGACGUAUAUAUUAUGCAAGUAUCUUUUGGCCAUCAAAAUAACCAACCGGAAUGCCAAAUUGUAAUAAUUCCUGAAAAGUGUACAGCACAAUGUCAGCCGUUAGACACAACUAUACAUAGACAAAUAAAAUACUUACAAAAGAGAAUUGUAACUGCUUUAGAAUUAUUAUAUGAUCAUUCUACAUUGUCUAUUGAGGAAAACUGGACAAGCGGAGCGGGUAUCAUAUGUCUACAAUCAUUAAUACAUCACAAAAUUUCAUCCAAUAUAUUC
rnacentral:lncRNA from 1 species